ACAGAUGUCCCAAGCGUUGUUCGGAUUCACUGGGCGUAAAGGGUGCGUAGGUGGUGGGGUAAGUCGGAUGUGAAAUCUCCAAGCUCAACUUGGAAAUGGCAUUGGAAACUGCCCUGCUAGAGGAUCGGAGGGGGGACUGGAAUACUUGGUGUAUCAGUGAAAUGCGUAGAUAUCAAGUGGAACACCAGUGGCGAAGGCGAGUCCCUGGACGAUACCUGACACUGAGGCACGAAAGCUAGGGGAGCAAACAGGAUUAGAUACCCUAGUAGUCCUAGCCGUAAACGGUGCACGUUUGCUGUAAAAUGAAUCGACCCCUUUUGUGGCGUAUCCAACGCGUUAAACGUGCCGCCUGGGAAGUACGGUCGCAAGAUUA
rnacentral:rRNA from 1 species